UACGGGGGGGGCAAGCGUUGUUCGGAAUUAUUGGGCGUAAAGGGCUCGUAGGCGGCCAACUAAGUCAUACGUGAAAUCCCUCGGCUUAACCGGGGAACUGCGUCUGAUACUGGAUGGCUUGAGUUCGGGAGAGGGAUGCGGAAUUCCAGGUGUAGCGGUGAAAUGCGUAGAUAUCUGGAGGAACACCGGUGGCGAAGGCGGCAUCCUGGACCGAUACUGACGCUGAGGAGCGAAAGCGUGGGGAGCAAACAGG
rnacentral:rRNA from 1 species